UGGGGAAUAUUGCACAAUGGAGGGAACUCUGAUGCAGCGACGCCGCGUGAGUGAUGAAGGAAUUCGUUUCGUAAAACUCUGUUCUAUGGGAAGAAAAGGACUGUACCAUAGGAGAAAGCUCCGGCUAAAUACGUGCCAGCAGCCGCGGUAAUACGUAUGGAGCGAGCGUUGUCCGGAAUUAUUGGGCGUAAAGGGUGCGCAGGCGGCUUUACAAGUUGGAUGUGAAAUAUUGUGGCUCAACCACAAACGUGCAUCCAAAACUGCAAAGCUUGAGUUAAGGGGAGGGAAGUGGAAUUCCUGGUGUAGCGGUGGAAUGCGUAGAUAUCAGGAGGAAUACCGGUGGCGAAGGCGACUUACUGGACUUAAACUGACGCUCAGGCACGAAAGCGUGGGGAGCAAACAGG
rnacentral:rRNA from 1 species